AUUGAACGCUGGCGGCAGGCCUAACACAUGCAAGUCGAAUGGUAACAGGAAACAGCUUGCUGUUUCGCUGACGAGUGGCGGACGGGUGAGUAAUGUCUGGGAAACUGCCUGAUGGAGGGGGAUAACUACUGGAAACGGUAGCUAAUACCGCAUAACGUCGCAAGAACAAAGAGGGGGACCUUCGGGCCUCUUGCCAGCAGAUGUGCCCAGAUGGGAUUAGCUAGUAGGUGGGGUAACGGCUCACCUAGGCGACGAUCCCUAGCUGGUCUGAGAGGAUGACCAGCCACACUGGAACUGAGACACGGUCCAGACUCCUACGGGAGGCAGCAGUGGGGAAUAUUGCACAAUGGGCGCAAGCCUGAUGCAGCCAUGCCGCGUGUAUGAAGAAGGCCUUCGGGUUGUAAAGUACUUUCGGCGGGGAGGAAGGGAGUAAAGUUAAUACCUUUGCUCAUUGACGUUACCCGCAGAAUAAGCACCGGCUAACUCCGUG
rnacentral:rRNA from 1 species